CGCGGAGCGGUGUGACCCUCCCAGCCCCGAGAUCCGCGGAGCGAUGUGACCCGUUCUACCCCGGGAUCCGCGGAGCGGUGUGACCCGUUCUACCCCGGGAUCCGCGGAGCGGUGUGACCCGUUCUGCUCCGGGAUGCGCGGAGCGGUGUGACCCGUUCUGCUCCGGGAUGUGCGGGGCGAUAUGACCCGUUCUGCUCCGGGAUAUGCGGGGCGAUGUGACCCGCGCUACCCUGGGAUAGGCGGCGCGGUGCGGCCCUCGCUUCCCGCUCUGUCCCGGGAUGCGCGGAGCGCCGUGUCCCGCACGGAGCCGGGAUGUGCGGAGAGCUGCAAGGAGGAUUUGGGAUCAUUUCCCUCAGCAGAUCUCCGGGUGUUGCACUCCCAGCGCGGCCUUCAACCUUCAGCUGCCUUUUGGCUUUUCUCUGCCUCCAGCCUCUCCAUCCUGCCAAAAUGACCCUCAAAAAGCAGCAGCUGGGCCACAUCUGGGUUGUGAUCCCCCCUUUCCAUGGUUAAAUCUGAGAUCCUCACAGCACAGACCUGUCCUGAAGAUGUGGAAUCAUUCCCUGGCUGCUCUGCCCUGUGGGACAGUCAUGUCCCCUUUCUUCCUCCUGUGUCCACCAUGAACAUGGACAUGAUCCCAAAGCUCUUCUGACCUUGGAAGGAGUGUUUUCUUCACCUGUAAACCUUUAUCCUGGGCAGGUCUUGGAAGAGAAGCCAAGAUACUUCAAGUGGAGGUGGUAGGAAGAGGGAAAUGCACGUUUGUAGGAUUGUUUGGUCCUUUCUCACCCUGUUUCCAGCCCUUCCAUGAGCUGGAAGAAUCCAAACUCCUCCCAGCACAGACAUGUGGGUUGAUCCUGAGGGUUGGAAUCAUUCAGAAGGGUUGGAAUCAUCAGGCUGCUCUGCCCUGUGGGACAGUCAUGUCCCCUUUCCUCUUCCUGUGUCCAGCAAUCCCACAGCAUGAACAUGGACAUGAUCCCAAAGCUCUUCUGACCUUGGAAGGAGUGUUUUCUUCACCUGUAAAGCUCCAUCCUGGGCAGGGCUUGGAGGAGAAGCCAAGAUACUUCAAGUGGAGGUGGUAGGAAGAAGAGGGAAAUGCACGUUUGUAGGAUUGUUUUGUCCUUUGUAGGAUUGUUUUGUCCUUUGUAGGAUUGUUUGGUCUUUCUCACCCUGUUUCCAGCCCUUCCAUGGGCUGGAAGAAUCCAAACUCCUCCCAACACAGACACGUGGGUUGAUCCUGAGAGUUGGAAUCAUCCCCUGGCUGCUCUACCCCGUGGAACACCCAGUAGAAAGGAUGUUUUUUAGCACACCAUUGACAAUAUUUCACAGGAGUUCAGGCUUUGGCACCUAAUAAAUAAAUAAAUAAACCAAUAAACCUUCCCCCAAAAAGUCUGGGAACUGUGAAAACAACUCCCAGGCUGAAGUGAAGCAGGUGCACAAAUUUCUGGGCAUUAAAAGCCCACGUGGUUCCCACUGAACAGGUCAUCUGACAGGGCUUUUUUUUUUUUUGGAAAGUAUCUUGUUCUUAAAUGUUUAAAUAUCACAGCUCCUGCUGGGAUCUGCUUGAGGAUGUUAAGCUGGGAAGCCAAACCCAACCGGGUCUCACUCACCAGGAAUUUACUGCAGGAAAAAAAAAGAGGAAUUAAAAUAAGUGUCUCAAAUCACUCCAGGAAUUAAACAGGGAUGGAGGUUUUUUCCCUGAGGAAAUAAUUGAGCUGGGAAUUGUUCUGGGGGAAAUUCAGCUGGUCUGGGGUGUUCCCAGGGGCAGGACUUGUGGUUUGCUUUGGGAGGGAAAAGGUGUCACCACUUCACCCUGCAAAUGCCACUUUAUGGCUUUUAUUUAUCACUGGAGGCUCAUCUGUGAUUUUUAACCCCAAAACAAGUUGCUCUUUCCCAGAAUCCCAAGAUUUUGGGCCACCCCACGCUGAGAACAUCAGGUUGCUCUUCCUUUAUUAAAGGGAAAAAAUGAAAAUAGA